rnacentral:pre_miRNA from 1 species
CUGUUGGGAGACCCUGGUCUGCGCUCAAUCUGUAUGCUUCCUGAGGGAAGAGCAGUACAGGGUUUCCUGUAUGGAGAGGGC